rnacentral:lncRNA from 1 species
GUGGCGCCGCCUCUUCGUCAAGAUCGCCGGCGCCCUCGUCCUCCCUCUUUCCAUCCUCUUCUUCGUCCACAUCGCUAUUUCCCACCGCCUCUUCUCCACCAUCGACUCCGACGAGUCCGCCCUCGAUGACGCCCCCCCGGGAUCCACCUCCGAGUCCUCCGCCCUCCAGCGGCUCGUCUCCGACUGGUCCGCCUUCCUCCUUUUUAAGGGUUUCUACCUCGUCGCCCUCCUCGUCCUCGCCCUCCUCUCCACCGCCGCUGUCGUCUACUCCGUCGCCUCCAUCUACACCGCCCGGGGCGAUCUCGCCUUCCGCAAGGUGCUCACCGUCGUCCCCCGCGUCUGGCGCCGCCUGAUGGUCACCUUCCUCUGGGCCUUCCUCGUCCUCCUCGCCCUCAACUCCGCCACCAUCGCGCUCCUCGUCUUCAUCCUCCUCAUGGGUGGCAACUCCUCCACGGGCCCCGUCCUCACCAUCUUAGUCGUCAUCCCGCUCUACCUAGUUGCCCUCGUCUACGUCAGCGUCGUCUGGCACCUGGCCAGCGUGGUCUCCGUGCUGGAAGACGCCCGCGGGCUGGAGGCGAUGCGGCGGAGUCGACGGCUGAUCCAAGGCAAGCUCUUGACGGCGUCGGUCAUCUUCGUGAUGCUCAACCUCGGCUUCGGGCUCGUGGAGUGGGCCUUCCGGGGGCUGUUAGUGAGGGGGAGGGGCGGGGGCCCGGGGCUUAGCCUGGGGCUGGGGCUGCUUCUGCUGCUGCUGUUGUGCCUGGUCAUCCUCUUCGCUCUGGCGGUGCAGACGGUCGUCUACUUCGUGUGCAAGUCGUACCACCACGAGAGCAUCGACAAGUCGAACCUGGCGGACCAUUUGGAGGCCUACUUGGGGGAGUACGUGCCAUUGAAGUCCCAGGACGUGCAGAUGGAGCAGCUCCGUGUUUGAUGCAGAGCUCCGGGGAACGUCUCUCCCUUCCUCUUAUCUCUCUCCC